UAACUGAAGAGUUUGAUCAUGGCUCAGAUUGAACGCUGGCGGCAGGCUUAACACAUGCAAGUCGAGCGGGGGAAGGUAGCUUGCUACCGGACCUAGCGGCGGACGGGUGAGUAAUGCUUAGGAAUCUGCCUAUUAGUGGGGGGCAACAUCUCGAAAGGGAUGCUAAUACCGCAUACGUCCUACGGGAGAAAGCAGGGGAUCUUCGGACCUUGCGCUAAUAGAUGAGCCUAAGUCGGAUUAGCUAGUUGGUGGGGUAAAGGCCUACCAAGGCGACGAUCUGUAGCGGGUCUGAGAGGAUGAUCCGCCACACUGGGACUGAGACACGGCCCAGACUCCUACGGGAGGCAGCAGUGGGGAAUAUUGGACAAUGGGGGGAACCCUGAUCCAGCCAUGCCGCGUGUGUGAAGAAGGCCUUAUGGUUGUAAAGCACUUUAAGCGAGGAGGAGGCUACUUUAGUUAAUACCUAGAGAUAGUGGACGUUACUCGCAGAAUAAGCACCGGCUAACUCUGUGCCAGCAGCCGCGGUAAUACAGAGGGUGCGAGCGUUAAUCGGAUUUACUGGGCGUAAAGCGUGCGUAGGCGGCUUAUUAAGUCGGAUGUGAAAUCCCCGAGCUUAACUUGGGAAUUGCAUUCGAUACUGGUGAGCUAGAGUAUGGGAGAGGAUGGUAGAAUUCCAGGUGUAGCGGUGAAAUGCGUAGAGAUCUGGAGGAAUACCGAUGGCGAAGGCAGCCAUCUGGCCUAAUACUGACGCUGAGGUACGAAAGCAUGGGGAGCAAACAGGAUUAGAUACCCUGGUAGUCCAUGCCGUAAACGAUGUCUACUAGCCGUUG
rnacentral:rRNA from 1 species